AGAGUUUGAUCCUGGCUCAGGAUGAACGCUAGCGGCAGGCCUAAUACAUGCAAGUCGAACGGUACCAGGUCCAGCAAUGGAUGCUGACGAGUGGCAGACGGGUGCGUAACGCGUAUGCAACCUACCUUUCACAGGGGGAUAACCACGAGAAAUCGUGGCUAACACCGCAUAAUAUAAUUUUGUGGCAUCAUAGAGUUAUU
rnacentral:rRNA from 1 species